rnacentral:rRNA from 1 species
GACAGCAGUAGCCACGGGAAUACAGAGGGUGCAAGCGUUAAUCGGAAUUACUGGGCGUAAAGCGCGCGUAGGUGGUUUGUUAAGUUGGAUGUGAAAUCCCCGGGCUCAACCUGGGAACUGCAUCCAAAACUGGCAAGCUAGAGUAUGGUAGAGGGUGGUGGAAUUUCCUGUGUAGCGGUGAAAUGCGUAGAUAUAGGAAGGAACACCAGUGGCGAAGGCGACCACCUGGACUGAUACUGACACUGAGGUGCGAAAGCGUGGGGAGCAAACAGGAUUAGAUACCCCUGUAGUCCCUGUCUCUUAUAC